rnacentral:hammerhead_ribozyme from 1 species
AUCCAGGUGACGAGUCCAAAAUAAGACGUAAUGCGCGUUGUCCUGGAU